rnacentral:piRNA from 1 species
UCAUUGGGACCUCAGUUUACCCACAGCAC